CAAGGUUGAAUGAUGAUCCAAGUGCAUAGUUCAUAUAUAUGAUCAAAUAAUGAUUACCUGAACAAAAAAAGUCUUUGUCUCCUAUCGGACGACCUUU
rfam:Triticum aestivum genome assembly, contig: Triticum_aestivum_CS42_TGACv1_scaffold_406665_5BL